GGGAACCGAGGUCGUCUUGGGCUGCCGCCUCUCCCUCUCCCAGAAGGAAUGAAGAGGUUCUUGGAAAGCAGGGACGGGCGAUUCUCUCUGUCAGCAUCAGCUCCCACCAGCGAGGACGGGGCGAGAAAGCGAAACGGGACUUUCCUUGCUGUCUAUUUUUUCUUCGUCAGGCCAACGCCGCUUGCUUGCAGGGGCGCAGGCGAGUUCCCGCCAAAUGGCGCGGGUGCGUGAGUUGCCGCCAAAUGCUAGCUCUGGAUGCCAGCUCGUUCCGCGUCUCAUGGUAGACUAGUUGGUGCAUUUCUGUUAUCAUGGACUGCGCAUAUAAACGCAAGCUACACAAAAGUGACAUGGACAAGAACAGCGCAAGCCCUUUACAUGCAGUGGAGCCGCCGUAUCUCGCCGUUCAAGAUAUGCGUACUCGAAGAAAAAGAAAGAGGCUUUACAUGAGAACGGAUCAAGCGUUCGAGAGUUGGGACAGGGAAAUGUGAGACGUACUUUCAUGUAUAUAUUUCUAAUAUUAUUUUUUCGUCUUGUAUUCUCGUUAAUUUUUCUCUAGGAAACACUGGAACGACACUGCUUAAAUUGAAGCACAGUGUGCGAAUGACCUGCUACUCUCGGAACUGUUAUCACCAUUCGGGAAGAAAUUGGAUGAAAAAACAUAACUGUAAAUACCUGUAUGAUAUACGUCUGGUGCAUUGCAGGUAAGAAUGGAUUGUGUGUGGCGCGCUUCACCGCAUGUGGACUAGAGUAGAUCUAGGAACAUCAGACAAGAAGACACGUAUGUGAAACCCUGCGGAUAGCGCAUAUGUAAGUUCUUCCUCAAUUUUUCUUUUGUCGCAUUUUCGUAGUUUACGUGUAAUACUUUGUCACCGCGGUCUCGACGUUAUGUAUACCUAUACAUUUGUCUCGUGGCAGUCUGCGUGCAAUUUUGUUUGUGCAACUAUGUGUUGUAUUCAUUUAUCGCGCUGCCUGGAUGUUUUUUUUUUUUUCACUGAUAUUCCGACCAAAGUCGGUAAACCUAUCCUUCCUGUCCUCAUGUUUCCUUGGGCGGCUCUAAAGCGUAUCUUAGAGGAAUAUUUAGCUUCAGAUUCCCGCAUGGAACAGAUGGUGAAUGACAUGCUGUGUUUUCUUUUUAGAGAAACUAUGUAUUCAUGUUUAAUAUUUGGUUGAUUUUCGUUUUGUCAUUCAUACAAUACUGCAGCCAUAUGCCAUUCUGUCAUAGAACGUUGUUUCUAGAUAUAUUUGUUUUAUGUGGUUAAAACAUUUAAAACGAAAGCGUUUCUUAUCCUGGCCAUUAUUUUUUACAGACCACGAUAACCACGUAUUUGGAUGUCUGGUUGAACUCUACGUGCGCUGGUUCGUGCAGGUGAACUUUUUUUCCAGAUACGGAGGAACGGACACCGGUCGUGCCGUGAGCACUAUUCUGCAGGGCAUACUUACAAAUGAAGCUGCACUGCAGUUCAGCUGGAAAGGGUCGCAGGGGAGGAAGCACGCCUUCGUGAAGCUCAUGGCCAUCACGAAUAUAACAUCUGUGAGGAGCACGUUCCCUGACGCUUCACUAGCAUCAGUGGCUGGAGUCGCAAAACGCUGGUUGGUUGGAGCAGCUGACAAGGAUGGAGGCCAGAUUGAAAGAAGGCGCCGUGAGCCUGCUUCAAGCCCACCAAAUAUGAACUAGUGUUUGAAACUUGUGAACGUGUCGGUGUACAUAUACAAUUACAAGAAAUAAAGACCAGUAUC